AACGAACGCUGGCGGCAGGCCUAACACAUGCAAGUCGAGCGCCCCGCAAGGGGAGCGGCGGACGGGUGAGUAACGCGUGGGAACGUACCCUUUGCUACGGAAUAGCCUCGGGAAACUGGGAGUAAUACCGUAUGUGCCCUUCGGGGGAAAGAUUUAUCGCCCAAGGAUGAGCCCGCGUAGGAUUAGGUAGUUGGUGAGGUAAAGGCUCACCAAGCCGACGAUCCUUAGCUGGUCUGAGAGGAUGAUCAGCCACACUGGGACUGAGACACGGCCCAGACUCCUACGGGAGGCAGCAGUAGGGAAUAUUGGACAAUGGGGGCAACCCUGAUCCAGCAAUGCCGCGUGAGUGAUGAAGGCCUUAGGGUUGUAAAGCUCUUUUACCCGAGAUGAUAAUGACAGUAUCGGGAGAAUAAGCUCCGGCUAACUCCGUG
rnacentral:rRNA from 1 species